AGCUGUCUCUGCGUUAAUGGCCUUGUUCACAAGAGCCUUGAAUGUAUUGCAAUGGUGCAAGUGAAGAUCACGACGCAACUUGGGGUUGAGACCUUUUCGGAACCUAGCCUGCUUCUUGGCGUCCGUGGACACCUCCUUUGUAGCUGUCACGUCCCUAGCCAUGCUAUGCACUUGGACUAGCUUGGUUGCUGCAUCAUGUCUAAAUUUCAUUUAAAGUUGAAUUGGGGAUUGAUAAACCCUAGCACCAAAUGAAUUCACAUAGGUUCAAAUAAAAACAAGUUGUCACGUCCCUAGCCUUGCUAUGCACUUGGACUAGCUUGGUUGCUGCAUCAUGUCUAAAUUUCAUUUCAAGUUGAAUUGGGGAUUGAUAAACCCUAGCACCAAAUGAAUUCAAAUAGGUUCAAAUAAAAACGUUUUCAAUGAAGCCAAAAUGCUCUAAGAAAAGUUCAUGAUUUCUGGUUAAGGUGAAAACCUCUGCCAAAAAUGAUGAAUAUAUUUUUAGGUCAUUUUUGGAUUCUUGAAUUAACACAAAAGUAUUUGAGUUGGAGCCAUUUAAAUGAUAUAUAUUUUUUAAAUGGUCCAAAUAUUCUGAAGUUAUUUGUGGAGCUCUGGAAUAGUUCAUCUAAUAUCCACAAUAAUUUUCAGAAUUUAUUAAAAUGAUUUAGUGCCUAAACUAAAUCAAAACAAACAGAACAAAAUAAAAAAACAAAAACAGAAAAGGCAGAAAGGAGAGUACCUGAGCCACUUACCUGGCCUGCACUGUGUUGGCGCAACACUGUUGGCCCAGCCCAUCUCUCUCCCUUGUCUUCUUCCAGUCACGCCAGAAGGACUGGAGCGCGCGUGGCCGACGCCCGCCGACAUGCGCACGGCCACCUCCUGCUUGCCGCUUUGCCCUGGCCCUCCCUGGUGAAGCCACGCCACCCCCUCGACCCUCUCUGGCUCUCCUAGCGCCUCUUCUCUCCUCUGGCUCCUCUCCACCUCGUGCCCGAGCGCACCGCAGUGCGCCGCCGAGCACCACCACAGCCAUUGCCGCCCCCUCGACCUCUCGAGCUUACCAAGAGCUCCGCCGCUUCAUCCUCGACCUCCACACCGAGCCGCGCGACGUAGGACGCCCCACAACGCCGCCAUUGCCCUCGUCUUGAACCUUGGGCACCGGAGAUCGCCACCGCUGAUUCGACACCUCCGAGCCGUCCCCGAGCGCGCUAAGCAUCCCUACAGCCUCUAUGUGAGCUCCUACGCCGUUUCCCUCUGACCCCGACGCCGUUCGCGACCUGUAGCCGUUGAUUCCGCGCUGACCGAAAUGCCCCACCGCACGAGCUCGACGCCGGCGUCACUUCGGUGACCAUUUGGUCAUCCGUCGGUGUGCAACGCGUUCGCAACCUCGCGUAGUGCAUCCCUAGCACACUGGGUCGCUCGACCGCGAGCCGCAGCAGCAAAACUCACGAACGCCGAACUCCGGCCGCCGCCUCGCUCGCCACCGCCGACGCCACAGCUCACCCCAUCUCCUCUCGCUUGCUCCUUUGGAUGCGCGCGAACCCGAGGAACCCGUAGAAGCAAACGGCGAGGCAAAUGGUUGCCCGUAGCUCGAUCCCGAGGAGCAUCCGUUGUCGGAUGUGCUCGCCGGCGUUCAACUCCGGUGAGAUGACAUGGCGUCAUUAGCUUGAGGCUAAUUAGCGCAUUAAUCCCGCCCUGUGCCACUGACAGAUCGGCCCCACCCCCUAGUUAACCGCGGGGUAAACCCCUGUUAAAUUUUAACCUAACAAACGUGGACCCCACAGGUCAGUUGACCCGCUGACGUCGCCGUUGACUGGCUCCACCUGUAUGUGACCCGAGCCAGCACUGUGAGACUGACCAGUGGGACCCACUGGUCAGGUUUGACCUGGACCCGGUCUGUUGACCUGCUGAGGUCAGCAUGACGUAGUGCUGAUGCAGUAAUGCAUUUUCUGGAAUUAGUUUAUUUCUAAAUAAUUAGAAAAUCUAGAAAAUUGCCUAAAUUUCUAAAACUCAUAGUAAUUCAACCGUAACUCCAAAUGAAAUAAUUUAUAUAUGAAAAAUGAUCAGAAAAAUCCAAUCUUUCCAUCUGUACCAUUUUGAUGCAUGUUUGAGCAAGUUAACUUCACUGUUUAGGAUGAAACAUGAUUAGGACAAAUUUGAAAAUAGACUUGGAGUUGGAAUUUGAUCUAGCUUUGAAUUCCACUUCAAUCAAAAUGACUUUCUGUUGCAUUAGCCCAAAACACAUCAUAUUGCCAUGUCAUGAUCAUGCAUCAUAUUGUGCAUUGCAUUGAUUGUGUUCUUCCUUGUUUGUCGGUAAUUGUCCCCUCUCGAUAGACGUGGUUUCGACGAUGAGUUCGAUGACACCAAUGAAGAGCUAUACUAUCUUCAGAAGUGCCAGGCAAGCAAAAACCCCUUGUUCAUUCCGAUACAAUCCCACUCUCUCGCUCCUGCUCUCUUUUACUACAUUAGGACAACAACGCUUCAACUAUUACCUGCUGCGGUAGUUGAACCCCUUUCCUCUGCAUGACCUGUCAUUGCCACAGUAAAUAGAUGAAACCCACUAGCAUGAGUAGGAGUUGUUUGAGCCCUGAUGUGCCUACUCAUUCAUGCUUGUUUUUCAUGCCUGCUACUGCUUAGAGUUGAGUCAGGUCUGAUUCAUCGGGGAUGAAUUGGAAUGUGGUGAACAUGUCCUACUGUGUGAGAGCUAAGUGUGUGAACACGAUUUGGUAAAGGUAGCGGUGAGAGGCCAUGUAGGAGUACAUGGUGGGUUGUCUCAUUGCAGCCGUCCUCAGGAACUGAGUUCUGUGUUUGUGAUCCAUGAACAGUUACUACCACACAUUGGGUUCCGGUAACUCGACUCCACUCGACUUAUUAAUCAACAUGAUCUCUGUCCAGGAGUUGCAACUAGUUUCUGGUGUUUGUAGGUAGUGCUAGUAGUCUACUAAGUGGCACCCGGUACAGGUGGGCUUGGGAAAGACUAGGCACAGUGUCCCGGUGUACCAAGUGGCACCCGGAUGGUGGGCUUGGGAACCCUGCACACAUCGUUUGGGGCCGUGAGCGACACCCCGGCCGGAUCUCCUUGCGGAUGGAACCCGAAUAGGCGAUAAACCUGGACGAGAGACUUGUGUGGUUAGUCAGGUCGUGGCUGACUCCCUCGCCAAGCUUCCGCUUGAAGGUUGCCGAGAUACACGAUGUGUACAUGGUGGUAAGUGGCGUGAGCGUGUGUGAAGAAGUACACCCCUGCAGGGUUAACAUCAUCUAUUCGAAUAGCUGUGUCCGCGGUAAAGGACUUCUGGGUUGCCUGUACAAUUCAUAGACAAGUGAAAGUGGAUACUCUAAAACUCGCAAGAUAAGCGUGAGUACUAUGGAUGGCCUUCUCGUAGGGAGACGAGAGCGGAUCCAUAGUGGUGUAUUGAUAUGGUGAAUAUGUGGACUCGUGUGUGCCACCUCAAAAGAGUUGCUUGCAGUCGUAGUUUAGGUUAGCCACUGAGUCAAAGCUGGCUUGCUGCAGUUAAACUCCACUACCCCCUUGGUUGAUACCGAUGCAUAUGUCGUUAGUUCUGAUGUAAGUCUUGCUGGGUACAUUUGUACUCACGUUUGCCUAUUUUAUGUUUUGCAGAGAGACGUCAGUCUCGCUAGUAGUGCUGUGUGGACUUCGACGUUUAGCUUGUUACCUCACCUACGAUCUUGUGCCCUCGGCGGGGUCUUGUAGAUAGUCAGGCUUCUCAGUCUUUUCCAUUUGUAGAUGUCUGUACUCAGACAUGUUAAGCUUCCGCAUGUGCUUUGACUUGUAUGCUCUGAAUGUUGGGUCAUGAGACCCAUGUUUGUAAUAUCUUGCUCCUCGGAGCCUAAUGAAUAAGUACUUGAGUCAUAGAGUUAUGUUGUGAUGCCAUGUUGUAUUUACGCAUAUCGAGCAUAUUGUGUGUAUGAUUGCAAUGCUUGGUAUGUGUGGGAUCCGACAACCUAGUUGUUUAUCCUUGGUAGCCUCUCUUAUGGGGAAAUGUACUCUUGUGCUUCCAUGAGCCAUAGUAGUCCGCUACAGCCCGGUUCACCGGAGUCCUGCUAGCCCAGCACUACUGCUCCGGAACACUUGACUGGCCGGCAUGUGAUUCACCUCAUUCCUGUGUCCGUCCCUUCGGGGAAAUGUCACGCGCUGACAUCCGGAGUCCUACCUAGCCUGCUACAGCCCGGUUCACCGGAGUCCUGUUAGCCCAGUGCUACAGCCCGGAUUCGCACGCUGCUGACCGACAUGCUCGAUGUUGAUUCAUGUAUGCCUGUCCCCGUAAGUUAGUGCCACCUUGGGUUCACGACUAGUUAUGUCGGCCCGGGUUCUCUGUCAUAUGGAUGCUAGCGACACUAUCAUAUACGUGAGCCAAAAGGCGCAAACGGUCCCGGGCCAUGGUAAGGCGACACCCGUGGGAAUACCGUGCGUGAGGCCGCAAAGUGAUAUGAGGUGUUACCGGCUAGAUCGAUGUGACGUGGAAUCGGGGUCCUGAUAGCUUUGGUAUCAGAGCCUGACUGCCUGUAGGAUUACCAAGCCAAACUGGUCGAAGUUGAGUCUAAAAAUGCUUUAGUUAUAUAAGGGAAUUGAUUGUGGAAGGGAACGUAAGGCUCUUUUUACUCCUUUACCUUAUAGCCUUCUGAUCUGAGUCAUCCUCUUCUCUUCUACGGGGAUUAAGAACUAGGCUUCUCAUCUUUCUAUCAGGAUCACGUGUUACUAAUCCGUAGACUCGUAGGAUUGUUAGUCUGAAGCCUCAGUUCAGUUUCUACUACUUCCAUGUGUUGACAGUUGAUCUCGGAACCUUGAUAUUGUGAUUCUGAAUGGUUAUGCCACCAUUUUUGCAGGAUGUCUCAAAUCUUUUGAGCAUUUACAGUCGUUAUGUUGUCCAAGUCAUCCCAGGUUUCUAAACAAUCUGAUGCAUUUGCAAAAUCCUUUCCCUCUGUUUUUGCGUCCCUUUGGGCCAGAUUAAGCACACUAACGGUCUGUUGAGGUACUCCAUUGCCUUGACAUAUGUGUUGGAGCUAGUAUUAUGACCCUAGGCAUCCUAGAGAACCACCUAGUAAUCUAGCAAUGCUUUAUAUUCCUAGUGUGAUGAUUCUGGCCAUCAUUCUCGAAAGCAUCCCGUGAUGCCAUUUAGUAGUAGGUAUUCUACUCCUGGGUUUUGAACCCGAGAUUCACCCUACUUCAUGUUGUUAGUAUUUGCUAGUUCCCUUAAGAUAUUAGUAACCUUUGCGAUAGUCCUCGAGGUCUGUGGUAUUUCCUUAUUCCAAAUACCAUGAACUGCUUAUGGCAGAAGUUCUUUUGAACCAAAAGAUCACAACCAGAGUGCUCUUGGUGAGCUCUCGAUUCUAUGUUGUGACUCUGCCAGUCCUUCCUUUUCUGCAUGGGUUAUCCGGAAGAAUUAUGUUGAACUUUGCUCGACAUACUAAUCUAUGCAUCCACAACUUAGAAAGUUAUAAGUUUCUUUGAGUUGUCCCUCUUAGUUGUUAUUUGACCUUCGUCUGUCAAUUGUUAGUCAGGAGUAGAUGUGUAUUCAUGUUCAUUGUUGCCUUUUGUUCACGAGGUCAUUCAAGUCGUUCUAUUCCGGAAUGACUAGGAGAAACAAACUCUAGUACCUCAUCCAUAUCUAGGAUUGGGUCAAAGCAGUUGUAUUCCGCAGAUCAAAAUGCCAAUCCAGCUUUUGAUUCUGUUCUACCCUGAAGUAUUGCCCUCUUUAUGUCAGGAAUAUCAUAGGAAUUGCACAACCUCCUAUGAACUCUUGAUACAGUGAUACUUCUCGCCAUCAUCGUUCAUUCCUCGGUCUCCGUGUUAUUGUAACCGGAAUACCGACAAGUGAUUUGUGAUGUGUGAAAUCAAUACCCCUAGCAACCUUGUUGCUUGGUAGUUAAUGGACAACAAUCUCAUUCUUAGUGUGCUGGUUAUUAAAUCAUCAUCCUAAGAUUGAUCGUGCUACCUAGUCCUUAUUUUUGGUGCACUCUUCGAUCAAUGAGUUAGGAUUUUGUCAAACCCUUACUCUCUUGAUCACAUCGUCUUGCCCUGAAAAGCAAGAUUGAUCUCGAGCUUAGUAACGUACCGGUGGUUCGUGAUUUUCCGAAUAUCUUCUCGGAAGUGUUACUAGGUUAUCCCCUGACUGUUAUGUUGUGCUUGUGAUCAAGUUGGUUUUCUUACAAACCACCCCUUCUCCAAGAAUCUGUGUUGGAUACCCCUGAGCUAGUUGGUUAAGCUGAACAGCAACUUGGAGAGUUGGAAGAUAAAAGCUUGCCUAACUUAGUUCAUUCCAAAGGGAUAUCUUGUGUUUGUGUGUUUUUUGUAGAAAGAUGAUUUCUUCAUCGAUUGGUCCUUGUGAUCAGUUGUUGAACCUAUCGUCUUGCCCAAACCUUAUUUGAGUGUGGGCCAUCGUCAAAUCAAGUUAGAACCAACGAUAUUCGUAAUGUUGUCUUACUCGUGGUUGAUUCCUCGAGCAUACACCAUUACAUCCUUUGGUCUGACCAAUGCUAUCACCAUGUUCACUUAAUUGUGGAAUUUCAUCUAUAUGGAAGCUUGGAUGGAUUGUUGUUGAGCCCAUCGGCAACAUUCUUAUCUUCUCCAUGACUCGUGUUGAACAUUAAGCUAGUGUUGGGAACUUGUGUUAGCAUUUUCUUCGUGCUACCUCAUGAAGGAUAUGUUUGGAUGGAAGAAGUGACUUCCUCUAAAUCAUGUGCAUUCGAUGCAAGUUGCCGCCAUGAAUUUGAGAAAGUUUAUUUCUGCCUCCUCUGGAAUCAUCCCAAGUUUGCCAUGCACGUGCGAAGUGCUCUAUGGUUUGAUAGGUUGGCCUCCUCCACUCCAUAUGUGUUCCUAGCACACUAAGCCACUGAUUGAUUUGUUCAAGGAAAAGGAGUUGCUGUGUGAAUACUAGUUCAUGCACAAGGCUUCGAUAUCCUCGUUGAUGGUUCCCCACCUGAACUCGGUAGUGCUUUAUUAUAAGACUACUACGUGGUCAUUCAUGUCUGGGACAGUGUGUUCACAUGUAUGUAGCAGAACCAGCUCAUGUUUUGGAGCUUGCUAUCGUAGUUCAUUCCCCGAGAAUCUCGCAACGCCAUCUCGUCGGUUUGUGUUGCAAACUUUCUUUUCCAGACAUGUUGUCUGAAAUAUCCUGUUUCCAACCAGAUCUGAAUCUCAGGCAGAUAUGAUGGUUGGAACGUUUAUCAAGAACUAUAAUAUUGGUCUCCCUGUAACCCGGUAAAGUGGAUGUCGUGGCCAACACACCCAGUCGAAAGACCCAUUACUCUAGUAUCUUGAUUGAGAAAUUGGCCACCUCCCCAUAAGGAUCUCGUAGGAUUUAUUCCAAUAGUUGUUCCUUAUGCAUUAUUGUGUUCCCGAAGUCCGACCUUCUACUUGAUCUUCUAGAUACCAAACCAUAUCAAUAAAUGGGUUACGCUAGCACAUCAAGGAGAACAUUAGAAGCGGAGUGCUAAAUGUCUCUCGGUCGAUCAUCCAGAUCUUUUUUUCCUUGGCUUCGCUAGGGUGAAAUCUGAGAAGGUGUUAUCAGCUCUUGCAUCUGCAUCGUCCAUCACUAUUCAUCAUGGUAGUAUGAUGUGUCGCCAGGAUCCUCGGCAUAGAUGUUGGUAAGACCCUGAUGAAUAUGGAAAUGCUCAAGUUCUUGAGAGCAUGCUCAGACACUAGGUUAUAUCCUCGGUAUCAAUUGGAAUGUGCCUUCCGUUUGCCGUGUUGUCUUAUAACAAUAGUUUCCUUUCCAAACUGAGUAUGCCAUUCUUCCGAACUCCCUCAAACGAUCGACUGUGUUUUGCCUUAGGUUGGUAUGAACAGUUCCAAUGAUCUCUAUAUCAAAAGUAAUUCUUUUUGCCACUUAAGGGAAUAAUUCUAUGAGUCACCUUCCCUGAGGUGCCCCGUUAUGGAACCAUGGCAAUCAACUCCUCGCUACCUUGAAACCUAUGCACCAUCCUACUUAAGCGUGGGAGUGUUUCCUACCAAUUUGAACUUUCGCCAUCUGUUUCUUCCAUCCCUCUCGAUGUGUGUUUUGUGUCUCAGUUCGAGAGAUGUUACUACAUCUCAUUACGUGAGUUGAUCAUGAUUUGCUUGAUCUUCAUGAAGAUCGAAUCCUGUAGAGCUUCCCUCUCUUUCCCUUGUCGUGUUGGGUGAAGAUCUCGACAGCAAAGAUGUCAAGAUCAACAUGAUGCAAUGAAUCAACAUUUUCGAGAAGAGCAAUUGGAUCGAGAAGAUGGUGUUAGCUUUGUGUCCCCCCUGUCUUCUUACCUCACAUCUUGAAUCUCGGGACGAGAUUCUUGUUUAGUGGGGGUGAGUUGUCACGUCCCUAGCCUUGCUAUGCACUUGGACUAGCUUGGUUGCUGCAUCAUGUCUAAAUUUCAUUUAAAGUUGAAUUGGGGAUUGAUAAACCCUAGCACCAAAUGAAUUCAAAUAGGUUCAAAUAAAAACAUUUUCAAUGAAGCCAAAAUGCUCUAAGAAAAGUUCAUGAUUUCUGGUUAAGGUGAAAACCUCUGCCAAAAAUGAUGAAUAUAUUUUUAGGUCAUUUUUGGAUUCUUGAAUUAACACAAAAGUAUUUGAGUUGGA
rnacentral:lncRNA from 1 species